rnacentral:piRNA from 1 species
AGGAACUGCAGCCUGGCCACCGG